CUGCCCCUUGGCUGAAAAGGCAGCUUUUCAGCUUUGCUCGCCUCAUACACACCCCCCUUCUUGUCUUCUUGGAGCACCUACACGCCUUGUGUCCUUGAUGCUUAUCAGUAUUGGCUUCUGUAGCCUUGCUUGCUCAGUUCCUCAGGCAGGAACACUGUCUGCUCCGGGAAGGGGGAGGUCUGGGGCUACCUCAGGGGAAAACCUUGAGACCCCGAGGUCUGUAUUGUGUAAGAGGUACGCAGAACAAAGACCUGGUGCUCAGACUCUGGAGGUGAGUCCUCUGAGCCCGCACAGGUGCUGAAUAAAGCUUGCUACCCUGCCUCUCUGAGCGCUGUUUGUCUCCUUCCUCUGCCAGGGUUUCUGUGACAAUAUAGUCCCCUCAGAACUCUUCCCAGUAUCUGGCUGCUGGCCUGCAUCACAGCUGUGCCUUUUUAACGAUGGGCAAGGGUCGAGAACCCGGCCACAACCUUCCAGUCUUUCUCCCUGCACGGGACUGGGCAAAAGGGUUCCAGAGGGUUUAUGUCCUGAGGGAUGUGAUCCAGCCUGACGAAGCAGGGGUGGCAUCAAUCCCUUGAAGAGGGGGAUGGUCUGUCCCUGAGAGGGGGUCUCGGAAGCAAGGGGGGCGGGGGAGAGUCUACAUAAUGAGGAGGGCGGCCAGUAGCAAAAGAGCAGCUAUCAGAGGAAUUUCCCAACCCAGGCAAUUCAAAUCCACCUUCUCUCAGAAAUUCUACAAGGAAAAAAAAAAAAAAGAAUCUCCAUCAGGGAUGAAGGGAGACUGGGGCUGCAGACACUCAGGGGCAGUGACAUCACAGGCAAAGCCACCAACCAGGGAGGAGGAGACCAGAGACCAACCCCCUUGCCCAGGGCAUCCUAGUUUGUUGAGGCCACUUUGCCCUGCCUCUGCCAUGUGCCUCGGGGUGCUCUGCCCUGCGGUCCUCUGUCUCCUGGGAGCAGUCUCUGUGGACACUGGAGUUACUCAAACACCCAGAUACCUGGUCCUGGGAACGAGAGAUAAGAGAUCUUUGACUUGUGAACAAGAUCUGGGACAUAAUGCUAUGUACUGGUAUAAACAGAGUGCUCAGAAGCCACCGGAGCUCAUGUUCACCUGUAACUACGAAGACCGCACUGGAAAUGAGUCUGUUCCGAGUCGCUUCAGUCCUAAAUGCCCAGAGAACUCCCCCCUUUACCUGCACGUGGACGCCCUGAAACCAGAAGACUCGGCCGUGUAUCUCUGCGCCAGCAGUAGAGACACAGCCCUGCAGAGCCAGCCGCUUCCUCUGCACAAACCUCGAGCACCCAGCCAGGAGGCUGUGGGGCCAACCAAGGUCGGUUCCCCAUUUCCUGGAAGACCCUCAAUGGAAAGCUCAGACCCUGAGACCGCCUGCGGGCUCAUGGCCAUGGCUCUUCUGAGUUCCAUCACAGCCACCAGCCACCUGUCCUGAGCAAGACUGGGCCUGCAGCUGAAUGUAGGACAGUUGUUCAAGUCUAUCCCACGCAUUUUCCAAUGGGCUGGCCUCCCCGGAAAGCCUUUUGGGAGACACUUGACCCUCUGUCCUCCCAGUCCUGCUUCCAAUAGGUGCCUGUCUCUGACUUCUUCCGUCCAAGUUCAGCCGGGGCCUCCCAUCUGACUCCAGCCACACAUAUGCUCAGACACUUUUCAAAGCGCCUCAUUCCCUCAGCAGGGGCUCUGUCCUUUCCAGCCCCUGAGGACCACAGAUCCCCCAUCUGGUCCCUGUGUCUCAAGUUCAUGCUGCUGCACGUCCAGGGGCUCGGUACCUCACGGGCUCCUCUUCCACUCAACACUGCCUUUCAGGCUUGGUCCUUGGUCCUCCUGUCUCUUUAACCCUAGAUCUUCAGGGCUUCCCAUCCUGCAUUAUCAGCCAUAGGGUCUGACAUCCUUGCGAAGCCCUGCUCACACCAGCCAGUGAGAAGGGAUGGCCUCUGACAUUUCAGUUCAGGCCUUUGUGCUCAGAGCUGUCCCGGCUGAACCCCGUAUCUUCGGGCUCUGCUCCCUGUAAUGGGCAUCAGGCCAGUGCACACCAGCAGCCAAGGGCUGUCAGAGCCCUGCAACCCCUCCUGGAGGGUCAGCUGUCCAUCUGCAAUAGGCUCCCAGCUUUCUCCUGCAGAGGGCUCUCCAGGCUCCUCUGACCAAGCCCCAAAACAUAAUACUGUCAACCAGUUCAACUGAGGUGGCAACUCUGUCUUAAGGUGUGGGUUUUCUUUCACCUGAGUGUGACUCUGCUCUGUCAACUGUUAGAAAGAGAAACACAUACAGAUCUAGUUUGUUUUUGUGGUUUGGGGGUUUUUUGGUUUUUGGGUUUUGUUUCUUUAAGGCCACACCUGGGGCACAGGGAGGUUCCCAGGCUAUGGGUCCAAUGGGAGCUGGAGCUGCUGGCCUACACCAAAGCCACAUCAAAGUCAGAUGCGAGCCAUGUCUGUGAGCUACACCACAACUCAUGGCAACACUGGAUCCUCAACCCACUGAAAGAGGGCAGGAAUUGGACCUGCAUCCUCAUGGAUGCUAGUCAGACUCACUUCUGCUGAGCCAUGAUGGGAACUCCGGAUCAGUAUUUUUAAUGCCUUAUUUACUUUCAAAUAACCAAGCCUGUCAAGUGGAAGAUCUAUCGUCACCAAUUCCAAGUUCUAUUAACCCCCUUCUCUGAGUUCUCUUCUACCCACUUAAGGCUAAACCCCAAGCUCUUCCCUGAUCAAAGCCACAAAUCUGCACAGACACUUGCUCUCAACCCGAGAGGCAGCCAGUGGGCCCCAUGCCCUUCUGUUCAGGGCACUGGGCUGGGUCCCUACCAGCAUCUGCUCUCCUUCCCUGGCACUGAAACGUGCCUUCAGGGUUCAGGUCUCAGCCUGUCACUGAAGCUCCUCUCCACACUAACCCUGGUGCCUGAACUCGGCCUCUGCUCCCUGGUGCCAAGUAGAAAGACAGAGAUUUGGACAAAGGAGAAAAAAUAGCUUUACUGAUUUGCUAGCCAAAGGAGGGUCACAGCAGAAGAAGGUCUCAAAGACUGUGCCUGCCUUAGAAGAGAUUGGGAGGUGCUUUUCUAAUUUGGGGAGUGAAGAACAGGGCCAGAGAUAAGGCUCAGGGGAGAAGCAAGCUUGCAUUAGUUUCAAAGCUGGCGUUCAGUGGUCUGGUGGACUUCUUUCCCAGUUGAAGAAGGCUUCUCUACCAUCUUCCAUUUGUGGGGGUUUUAGUUCAAUAGAAGACCUCAAAGAUAUUCUUAUCAAUGUUCCUGGAGAAGGAACCAGGCCCCUGCCCCAAGGCUACACUGUUCUGUGUUGGCUGUUCCUCCCUGGUCUCGGCAUCCCCUCCCCUCCCUGAUUAGCAACUGUUUGAACCUGCUCUUUGGAACUCAGGGAAGCUCAUGGAAGCUGCAUUUUAUUCCCUAAAAACAAGAAUUGGGGGACCCAGAAAGGCUUGUGAGCCCAGGAGCCCACAGGGCCCUGCCAGGUUUCAACACUCCUGGGGUCAUAUUUUGUUUUCCUCUGGCUCUUAUUCCCCAGCAUUUUCGUCAUCAGGUUCAGAAUCCUGAAACAUGCCUCUGGAUUAUGGCCCUGAAUUGGCCAUUAAGAGAGGGUAUUACCGAAGUUUAGGUUCUUGUUACAGAAAGAAUUCAUAAAUGAGACGGAAACUGUGGGGGAAAAAUUGAGGAUUUACGUGGGAAAAACAUUUCAGAGGGAGCGACGGGCAGAGAGGUGAGCAGAGCAGCUGCCCUGCGUUUUGCGGCACACAUGCAUUAUGGAGCAUCUAAUUGUAUGGGUGGGAUAUUCACUGGGAAGAUGGUGUUUAGGGGUCCAGUUCCUUAAUUUUCACCCCAGCUUCACCUUCCCAAAGGGAGAAGGGAUUUGUGUUCCUAUUUAGUUUUACGGAAAUGUCAAGGCAUUGGUGCCUGAUGGGUACUUAUGUGCAGAACAAAUUUUAUUACAAUUUUAUUAUAAUGAGGAAAUAAUGAGCAACAGGUUCGAUCCAGAUAUUUGAGAUUUGUGCCCCUUUCCACCUUUCUCUGCCCCCAGGGCACUUAUCACCCCAAAAGAUGUGGUUUCCUAUCAGUCUGGAGCCUCUGGCUUCAGUUUCAUUUUAUUUAUUAUUAAUUUUUUUUGCUUUUGUUUUUAGGGCCAAACAUGUGGCAUAUGGAAGUUCCCAGGCUAUGGGUUAAAUUGGAGCAGAAGCUCGUGGCUGACACCACAGCUCACGGCAAUGCUGGAUCCAUAAUUAAUUCAGCAAGCCAGGGAUAAAUUGGCAUCUUCCUGGAUGCUAGUCAGAUUUGUUAAAAAAUGAGCCCCAGGGGGAAUUCCCUAUAUAUUUUUUUUAUUCACCCAUGGAUCCAACUAUUUACAUGAGGUGUGGUUUCCUGCCACCUGACCCCAUGCACCCCUUCUCUGCUCAUGCCUAACCAUCUGCCUGCUGGAACAAGGGGCAUAAUUCCACCCUGUGUUCAUGCCUGGGUCGGGUCUUCAUGCCUGGCCUCACUCUGCCGAAGGCUGUGUUCCCCUAGGGUCCCUGUGCAGCGGCAGCCUUUCACUUGGGGCCUGUGGGUGUGCACCUUCCAGGACAUGGACCUGAGUUUCAGAGCAUCACCUGUCCACGUGGGCGCCAAGCCUCCUUGCUCCUGCUCCUGGGGGCGCUCUUGAGACCAUGGGUGCCGCCCAAGACUCUGACAUCACUGGACCGCCUCCCUUGGGCUGCUAGGGACCAGAUGCCCCACUGGGGGAGGCCUCAGCACCGCCCAGGCCCUGCCAUGGACGGCAGGCUCUUCUGCUGGGCCAUCUUUGGGCUCCUGGGAGUAGGCCACAUGGAACCUGGAGUCAGACAAAGCCCUUGCCACCACAUCACAAAGUCGGGACAGAACGUGACUUUGAGGUGUGACCCCAUUCCCGGUCAUUUGUACAUCUACUGGUACCGCCAGACCCUGGGAAAGGGGGUGGAGUUUCUGAUGUCCAUCUAUAACAGAGAGCCUCCACAGAAUGCCGACUUUUUAACGGAGCGGUUCUCAGCUGAGAUGCCUGAUGACACGUACCUGACUCUGAAGAUCCAGCCUGCAGAGCGGGGAGACUCGGCCCUGUUCCUCUGUGCCAGCAGCUCA